rnacentral:rRNA from 1 species
AUUGAACGCUGGCGGCAUGCCUUACACAUGCAAGUCGAACGGCAGCGGGCCUUCGGGUGCCGGCGAGUGGCGAACGGGUGAGUAAUGCAUCGGAACGUGCCAUUGAGUGGGGGGAUAACGUAGCGAGAGUUGCGCUAAUACCGCAUAUUCUGUGAGCAGGAAAGCAGGGGACCGCAAGGCCUUGCGCUCUUUGAGCGGCCGAUGUCAGAUUAGCUAGUUGGUGAGGUAAAGGCUUACCAAGGCGACGAUCUGUAGCGGGUCUGAGAGGAUGAUCCGCCACACUGGAACUGAGACACGGUCCAGACUCCUACGGAGGCAGCAGUGGGGAAUUUUGGACAAUGGGGGCAACCCUGAUCCAGCCAUGCCGCGUGAGUGAAGAAGGCC